UCGAAUCUCAAACAAUCAAACAUGUGAUCGAGGACGAUUGCCCUAAUAACGGUAUCCCGCUGCCAAAUGUGACGAGCAAGAUCCUGGCGAAAGUGAUCGAGUACUGCAAGAAGCACGUCGAGACUCCCAAGCCUGACGCCAAUCAUGAGCUGAAGACCUGGGACGCCGAGUUUGUGAAAGUUGAUCAGGCCACGCUCCUCGAUCUCAUUUGGGUCGGUAGUCUUCUCUUCCUUUAUUGUUAGAUCUGUUCCUUGAUUCCUUUUUUGCUUUGUCAAUUCCUUUUUUUUUUUUUGGAUUUUCUAUGAAUGUGAUUUGGAUUCUUUAUUUAGGUGGGAAUUUUAGUUGAAAAUAAUGUGUCUAUUGAUGUGAUGCAUACGGAUUAUGGUUUUCAUUUAGGCCUACUUUCUGCUUAGACAGAUGGAUUUUUUGUUCUCAUUUUUUACUUUGGUUUCUUGUUGCUUAGAAUCUAUAUGUAUAUAUAUGUGUGUGUGUGUUUUGUUUCUGCUGUAACUUGAGGACGUUUCAAUAUAACAAAAUGCUUGAGAUAAUAAUCUUAAUGAAAUUAUGGAUUAUAAUGUUGAUAAAUGCUAUCGUUUUUAGAUUUUGAUGUUUUUAUUUAGCUAUCCUUAUAAAUUAUUAUCCUGAUGAAGAUCUAUUAAUAUUGUUUAAUUUAUGAUUUUUAAGAACAUAUUAGUAACUGACAAGAAAUUAGAGCAUUUAUCAAUCAGUAUGCUUUCUAUUAGUAGAGAAAGGUAACAGGAUAAAGUUGUAGUUUAUUUGGAGUAAAGUGUUUAUUAAAUUGCUUUAAUUACGAAUCAACGUAAUUGUUUCUAAUCUGCUAUGCAUUUAAAAAAAAAAAAGGUAAUCGUUUAUGACAUUGUAUUACCUGUUGAAAAAGAUAUCUCAAGAUUUCAAGCUGAAAUCUAAUGCUAUCAACUUUGAUCCUUCUUGGUAAACAUUGUGAAUAGCAUCUAGCUAUUAUUAAUAUUGAGCUGUCAAAAACUGCCUAAAAUUGCCUAGGUUGGUAGAGGGGUCCAUCAUAAGUUUGCCGGUAAGAUUGUAAUAUUAACAAUUUACACGCUACAUUUGGUAACUUGCUAAAGGUAGAUCAAAAUUCAUAUUUUGGCCUUAUUAAGUUGUCUACAUUAGUUAAGGAGAGAACCUUUUUUUUUAUGCUUAGUCGUAAUCGUCUCUCAAGUAGCUUCUAUGAAUAAGCUGCUCUAUUCUCAUCCAUGCAAUCGCAGUUCAGUCCUUACAGUAUGUUUUCAGUUCAGUCAUUACAGUAUGUUUUCUUUCAUUUUCUUAUUAUCGGUUAAGAAAGAAGCACAAAAAACCAAAUUAGUGUUUUUGUUGCUUGCUAAAAUUGUAAAGUAUUAGUAAUUUUAAUGCAUCUACCAAUCAAUUCAGUCCAUUUUCACAUAGUCCAUCUUUUAGACACAUUUCUUGUGAAACUUAUGAGUUUAUGUACUAUUGACAUUAUUUGUACUGGACAAUGGAUAUGCUAACAUCACAUUGUUUUUGGUCUUUUUUUUUUUAAAAAAAAAAAUUCCAUGAUUGAUGAACCUUCUUCUGGUUAUCGACUUUGGUUAUGAAUCACAUUGAUGCAGCAUUAGAAUUAGUAAAUCUCUUGGUUUCUAUAUAGUAUUUGAGUUGAUUUGAUAGUGUAAUUUUCCUUAACCUUUAGCUUUUCUUAGCUUUAACAACUGGGAUAUGCUUUACUAUCCGACCUUAUUAAAGUUCACAGUUGUUUUAUAUAUACUAUUUAAAUGAAUGCGAUUAUGUGCUGAGCUUUCAAAUAUAUAUUCUUUUACUAAUUUGGCACUUCUUUAAAUGUCACGUAAAGAACUGCUGACCUGGAUUAUGUUAUUGAAUCUUUAUUUGUCACAUAGUUAAGACAUCACUUCUGAUGUUUACGCGCAUUCAUAGAUUAAGGAAAUUUACAAGACAUAAAAGUACAAAUGUAAAAAUCGUCAAUGCUGCAUUACAAAUAUUGGCAUUUCGGAUCGGUUACUUUACUUUUAGGUUUUCAACUGGCAUACUUCUGGUUAGAAUAGUGCAUUGCUUAUGCUGUUUUAAAUCUCCAUCUGAAAUGCUCAUAAUUUGAAAUUUGAUUCUCAUUCUUAUUUACAAUGUAGUCAUGUUAUUACUUGGUGGACUUAAUUACAAUCAGUUGAAACCUAUAAAAUGCCAUAGCCUAUAGACACUCUUGUUCUUAGGGUAUAUGUGACAAGAUGGCAUUUGAACAAUAGGAAUGAUACUAUUGUGAUAUGUAGCCCUGACUAAAACUCCUAUUUCACCAUUUGAUUAUGUCUCCAGGCAGCCGACUAUUUGAACAUCAACGGCCUGCUGGACCUGACAUGCCAGACUGUUGCAGACAUGAUAAAGGGAAAGACCCCUGAGGACGUGGAAGAGAUUCGUCGUGAGAACCAGUGGCUAUUUGAGAUUGUAACGAUGUUGUCAGUGAAGAAAAUCACCUUGAAGAGCAGCGACAGUGAGACCUUCAAGGUGGACGAGGCGGUGGCGCUCGAAUCUCAAAUAAUCAAAUAUAUGAUCGAGGACGAUUGCACUGAUAAUGGUAUCCCGCUGCCAAAUGUGACGAGCAAGAUCCUGGCGAAAGUGAUCGAGUACUGCAAGAAGCACGUCGAGACUCCCAAGCCUGACACCAAUCAUGAGCUGGAGACCUGGGACGCCGAGUUUGUGAAAGUUGAUCAGGCCACGCUGUUCGAUCUCAUUCAGGUCAGUAGUCUUCUCUUCCUUUAUUGUUAGAUCUGUUCCUUGAUUCCUUUUUUGCUUUGGCAAUUCCUUUUUUUUUUUUUUGGAUUUUCUAUGAAUGUGAUUUGGAUUCUUUAUUUAGGUGGGAAUUUUAGUUGAAAAUAAUGUGUCUAUUGAUGUGAUGCAUAUGGAUUAUGGUUUUCAUUUAGGCCUAUUUUCUGCUUAGACAGAUGGGAUUUUU
rnacentral:lncRNA from 1 species